CUAUCAACUGCCGCCUCGUCUCUACAAGAACCCCAGUAGCUCGGGCCAGGGAGCCACUACUCCUGCUACGCACACCACGUCAGGCGUCGAUGGGGUCUACAACCUGGGAUCAACUCAGAAACCAAAGAAUAAUUUGCCUUCUUCCCCGAACGUUCCAGUGAAGAUCGGCAGAACGAAUCCAGAGUCAGAGGGCAAGGGGGUGGGUGGCCGCGAGAGUACUAUUCCGUCACGGAAAAAGGACCUACCUAAUUCACCUCUAAUUCCUGAAUCAUCUAAUUCUUCUACUGCACCAUCAGGACCUUUCAUUAGAUCCGGCCAGCGGUGCCAGUACGACGGGGACAAGUACCACGAGGGCUGCGAGGCGUGCUUCUGUCGCCGCAACGCCACUGGGAGCCUCUACAGCGUCUGCUACGGAGACUCUUGCGUUUAAAUGAAUGAAACUUGGAUGAAAUAACGACGACGACAUGGCUUUGGAAAUGGAAAAUUGAGUAUAUUUAUAGUUUAUAUUUGAUCAGCAAAUAUUCAC